GAAGUCCUGUUAGUAAGAGAUUCAUAUACUUUAGGAGGCUUAUGGUGGUUGUCAAAACUCUGUAAAAAGAGUUUACAAUCAUUAUAAAUGGUCAACUAAAUGAUGCAUUUCACUUACUUACGUUGGUGCUCUGACUGCUUAUAAACUAUUAAUUUGCUUAAUUUAGNNGAUGUAGUCCUUCGGGUUUUAAAUUUUUUUGUGAUUAAGUGUAAAUUUAAUAUUAAAAUAAGUAGGUGAAUUACUUACUAUUGUAAGUGCAUUCAGAUCAUUAGUAUCGUUAAGAUAUUAAUUGUAGUUAUAUUGAAAUCUUUCAAACUUUUGUUUGAAGAUUCAUUAUAUACAACAAUUGCAAAUACCUUUAUCGUUUACUUUUAAUGAUGAUCCAGAGUAAGUAAGUCGGUCAUCCAUCUGACCCGUCCUGAAACACGGACCAAGGAACCCAACAUAUAUGCAAGUCGCACAGUCUUGUUUAGGCUUGUGAGGGGAAAUAAACAUAAUGGUGGGACCUUUAUUUUCAAUAAAGAGCAACACCAACCUGUUCAUACUUUGUUUUACAAGUUGAACGGCGUUUGAGCAUACAUGUUGGUACCCGAAAGAUGGUGAACUAUACUUGGGCAAGACAAAGCCAGAGGAAACUCUGGUGGAGGUCUGUAGCGAUUCUGACGUGCAAAUCAAUCGUCAGACCUGAGUAUAGGGGCGAAAGACUAAUCAAACCAUC
rnacentral:rRNA from 1 species